rnacentral:rRNA from 1 species
GGGAUCAGCCCAGGGAAACCUUGGAGUAACUACCCGCAAUAGCAUCUUGCCGUGAGAAGCAACAGCAGGGCACCGCAAGGACUCUUGCCGACCUUUAGGAGUGAGCCUAUGUCGUGAUUUAGCUUGUUGUGUAGGGUAACGAGUCCUUACCAAGGCGACAAUCCGUAGCUGGUCUGAGAGGACGUACCAGCCAACAGCUGGGACUGAGACCACGGAUCCAGAUUCCAUACGGGAGGCAGCAGUGGGGAAUUUUGCGCAAUGGGCGAAAGCCUGACGCAGCAACGCCGCGUGGAGGAUGAAGGUUCUCUGAAUCGUAAACUCCUGUCGGUCGAGAAGAAUGGACGGGGUGCUAAUCAGCUCCGUUUUGACUGUAUCGGCAAAGGAAGCCCCGGUAACUCCGUGCCAGCAGCCGCGGUAAUACGGAGGGGGCAAGCGUUACUCGGAAUUAUUGGGCGUAAAGGGCGCGAUAGGCGGUUCGAGUGCGAUACGGAGGUGAAAUCCCCGGGCUUAACCCGGGAGCUGCCUCCGAUACGGCACGGUUGACGUCCGGGAGAGGGGAGCAGAAUUCCCAGUUGUCAGCGGGUGAAAUGCGUAGAUA